GAGCACUGGAGAGAAGAAAGCUGCAACGAGCGAGAGCUCCAGAUAUCCACGUAGGGUCCCCGAUGAAAAAAGUCCUCAAAGGGAAAUGUUCUGCUGAUGUGGAAGAGGUGAAACAAAAAAAGUCAAAAGCAUCAAAAUCAGGCAUGGAUUGAACAUAGGAAAGAAGUAAGAGAGUAGAAAAUUGGUCGCUUGGUUUAGCAGUUCUUCAGGCUGAAAAAUCGCAAUGAAACCUCCAGGGAUAAGAGUUUCAAACAAGGCUGCUGGACAGAGAAGACAGACCAAAUCAGCUUACCACUUG